CCAUGUUUUUGACUGUGCAAACACUUUCACAUUUGGUUCAGGCACGGCAACAGAUGAACGCACGCAGAGAUGAAUUGCUUGACAAAAUCGCGCCCUUGAACUGACGUACGGGACGUGAUUGUGAGUGGACGCAGGGGGGCAAGCAAAGAUACGGAUGCCACCAGAGACCCCGAUCAUCUCACCCACGACACUACCACCACCGUAGGUGCACCCUUUGAAAUCUUGGUGCAAUGGCACCAUGGAGCACCGCCUCCGCUCCCGGAAUUCGACAGCUCGACCGCACCGGCGAAAAGAUCGUGCUACUAUCUCCGUCGCGUGAUCAAAUCCGAGCAGAUGGAUGUGCACGAUGCGUGGGUGGUGAGGCUGAUUGGAGGUAGAUGGAUGAUCGUCCUGCUGUCUGCUGGCCAGUUGUGAGGCUAGGAAUAAGUGGCUAAUGACGACCGUGACUGGUUUACGCCUUGUCUCGGGAGAAAGAUCUUCACCAAUCAACUUGAGCCUCUCUCUUGUUCAAAGCAUUGUCUUUAUAGGAUUUCAUCCAUAGAGUUGCUGUUUUUGAAGUCCAUUUGGUUCAAGUGAAUGUACCCUCAAGAUUUCUAUGAACUGCUUUCGGACCGUGUAAUUUCA